rnacentral:rRNA from 1 species
UCGUGACCCUGACCAAAACAGACCGCGCACGCGUCAUCCAAUCCGUCGGUGACGGCACUGUCCGUCGCUCGGCCAAUGCCUCGACCACCUCCCCUCCUCGGAGCGGGUGGUGGCUCGGGGUAAAAGAACCCACGGCGCCGAAGGCGUCAAGGAACACUGUGCCUAACCCGGGGGCAUGGCUAGCUUGCUAGCCGUCCCUUGUGUUGCAAAGCUAUUUAAUCCACACGACUCUCGGCAACGGAUAUCUCGGCUCUCGCAUCGAUGAAGAACGUAGCGAAAUGCGAUACCUGGUGUGAAUUGCAGAAUCCCGCGAACCAUCGAGUCUUUGAACGCAAGUUGCGCCCGAGGCCACUCGGCCGAGGGCACGCCUGCCUGGGCGUCACGCCAAAACACGCUCCCAACCACCCUCAUCGGGAAUCGGGAUGCGGCAUCUGGUCCCUCGUCUCGCAAGGGGCGGUGGACCGAAGAUCGGGCUGCCGGUGUACCGCGCCGGACACAGCGCAUGGUGGGCGUCCUCGCUUUAUCAACGCAGUGCAUCCGACGCGCAGCCGACAUUAUGGCCUCAGAACGACCCAGCAAACGAAGCGCACGUCGCUUCGACC